GGGGCUGUAGCUCAAUGGUAGAGCACCUGUCUAAUACAUAUGAGGUACUGGGUUCUAUCCUCAGCACCA
rnacentral:tRNA from 1 species